UUCCUCUCCUGUCCUGAUUUUUAAGGCCUGAAAGGUGCUUGACUGUCAAGAUGUUGUCUUGACUGCCGUAAUUAAUCUGUUUUGUAGCAACCAGACUGCUAGCCCCAAGUAGGAAAUGUAUGAGAUGAUGCUGGUGCCUAAGUUCAAUCAAGCAUCUCACGGUGGGUGCCUUAGUUCUGAGAGCUUCAGCAGAGGUACCAUUUUGCUUCAUUAUGUACAUAAACAGACUCCUGGAGUGAAUGGCCCUGCCCAUCUUUUGACAGUGUCUUUGCUGACAGGUGGAUGUUCUGUAUCGUUGGGUCUUAAGACAGCAAAGGAAAGACCAUCAAGGAGUGUUGCGAGAGGUAUUCAUUGGACUUCAGUUAAGAAAACUCAGCGUCUGCUCUCAGUGGGAUUGAUUAUUUGCCAUGUGUUUUUAGUCCAGGGACCAGAUCUCCUUCACAAACCUGAAGAUCAUGAAAGAGUUUAAUUUAUAAAGCCAUAGUUAAAGAUGAUGGUUUACAGCGUUGUUCAAUUGAAUCAAAACUUCCACAAGAAGGUGCCUCAAAGAAGAGACAAUCACAGCAUUGAUUUUUCAGGGUUCUCCUGUUUUCAUGCUUUAAACAAGCACUAUCUCAUAUGUACAGGAAGGCUGGAGAUGUGCAGCACAUCAACAUUACAAAGAGCCAACAAAACUGACUGCUUGUGGAGGUAAAAUAAAAUACUAGAGUUACAGUAUCCCCAGUAAGAUGAAUCAUCUAUUCUUUGCUUUUAAAUAUGUGCUUCAUGGACAACAAAAAAAAACCCUUGAAACCAAUCCUUUCAUCAUCUGAAGCAUAUUUUUUCAUUGACAUAUCACAACAAGAGGAAGUGCCAUGGUUAAGAGAUUACACCUUUGUCAUAUCCAGGGAAGGAUCAAAAGCAAGUUACUGUUCCUUCUGUCUUUCUCCCAAGCUAGAACAUUCUGUUUUCAGUAUAAUGUGCAGAAAUCUGUUUCUUUCAGCUUAUAAAAUAGACAUCUCUGGUAUAUGAAUCAAACAACCAAAGGCACCACUAUUUCUCCUAGCAGAAAGUAAUGACUGUGAGAAGAAAGCUCAUUAUUAAUUACCUAAAAGAAUGGCUUUCUGAAUGGAAAAACCAAAGAGUAACUUCAGAGAUCUGAGUCAACUUCAACAUUUUUUGAUCUAUGGCUAUGUCUGCAUUCUCAAGUGUAAGGGAGAGUGUAGAGCAAACAGUGGUGAGGACUGAGUCAGAGCUCUGAUUUUAUGUUGAAUUCUUUUUUUUCUUCUAUAUUUGGGCUUCCAUUACCUAUUUUGAUUCUAUUUAUAUAUUAUGGACUAACUGUGCAUUAGCAGUUGGAGAGCAUUAGUUGUGCUCUUGGAACAAAGCUUACAAUUUAGUCUUACCCAGAAGAAAUGCAGUUCAUGCACUCUGUGACUCCCUUCAUGAAGUCGUUUACCAAAAAAUGGUAAUGCAAGAGGACCCAUUGACUUCUGCAGAGAGGAGUCACUUCUUUCUCCUCCACAGACUAGGUCCUGCACAGAUCAAUCCUUCCCACAACUGCAACCACAGUAAUGAGCAAUUUCUACAAAUGGUGCAGAAACUGAGUGUGAUAGUUCAGACUGGAAGAGCCAGUAUCCUCUCUUUAAGGCAGAUACAGAACUGAAGAAAUGAUGAAGUGUGGUGAUCAACACUAAUGCAUUUCACAAAUGAUAUACAGCCUGAUGAAAUGACUUCUUGUGGUCAACUGGUCUUAGCUUCUGCUGUGUGCACUACAGUUCGCCCUGAUCUCAUCAUAAUCUCUUUUUGAGCAGGAACAUACUGGAAGGAAUGAUAAUAAUACCAUCUGUCCUCUGGUUUUUGAGAGAUAAUAAAAAGAUAAUUUAAUUGAAGUUGGACCACAGAUUUAUACAGCAGAAGUAAUUUCAGAAGAAAUUAGACCUAGCAGGAUCCUCUUUUCAGGAGAAAACAUUAAUUUCAUCAGAAAAUAUCACUUUAUGAAAAAGUACUUGUGAAGAGAAAAAAAACCCCUUGCAUAUUUUUUGCAUCAAUAUUUUGACAGAGCUUCAUCUUUCU